rnacentral:tRNA from 2 species
GCUGUUGUGCUCAGUGGUAGAGCGCUGUUUGAUAAACAGAAAGUCGGUGGUUCGAUUCCAUCCAAUAGCA